GAAUUUCACCUAGUGAUUGAAGUAAAAAGUCGUAACAAGGGUUUCCCGUAGGGUGAACCCUGCGGAAAGGAUCCAUUAAAUGAAAUUUGAAGCCUGUCGCUGGCUUACGUGAUUCUAGCAUGUGCA
rnacentral:rRNA from 1 species